rnacentral:misc_RNA from 1 species
AAAAAAAAAAAAAAAAAAAAAAAAAGACUUUUUCUCUUAUAGCACUGAGUAUUUGGUUCAGCUAGUAGAUAUGGUACAUCAACAACGCAUAAGCAUAAUCCGACUUAUUACAGUGCAACUUUGAGAGGAAUAUCAAAAUGAUACAAAAUCACUAGCUAGCGGCGGGAGCAGGGCAUCCUCUUUAUUACAAUUGCAGACAAGAUG